UGACCUCAAAUCAGGUAGGACUACCCGCUGAACUUAAGCAUAUCAAUAAGCGGAGGAAAAGAAACUAACAAGGAUUCCCCUAGUAACUGCGAGUGAAGCGGGAAAAGCUCAAAUUUAAAAUCUGGCAGUCUUUGGCUGUCCGAGUUGUAAUCUAGAGAAGUGUUAUCCGCGCUGGACCGUGUACAAGUCUCCUGGAAUGGAGCGUCAUAGAGGGUGAGAAUCCCGUCUUUGACACGGACUACCAGGGCUUUGUGAUGCGCUCUCAAAGAGUCGAGUUGUUUGGGAAUGCAGCUCAAAAUGGGUGGUAAAUUCCAUCUAAAGCUAAAUAUUGGCGAGAGACCGAUAGCGAACAAGUACCGUGAGGGAAAGAUGAAAAGAACUUUGGAAAGAGAGUUAAACAGUACGUGAAAUUGCUGAAAGGGAAACGCUUGAAGUCAGUCGCGUUGUCCAGGGAUCAACCUUGCUUUUGCUUGGUGCACUUUCUGGUUGACGGGUCAGCAUCAAUUUUGACCAUUGGAAAAAGAUUAAGGGAAUGUGGCAUCCUUGGAUGUGUUAUAGCCCUUGGUUGCAUACAAUGGUUGGGAUUGAGGAACUCAGCACGCCGCAAGGCCGGGUUUUUAACCACGUACGUGCUUAGGA
rnacentral:rRNA from 1 species